AAGACCUUCGAGGCUUCUUUCCAUCCUCCAGUCAUAGUCAACCACUUUCUAUUGAGAACCAUCCAGUGGAUUCGGCCAUUAGAGCCGGCUCUGUAAGUCCUGAAGUAUUAAGGAAUGGUGGAUUUGAAGAUGACAACUCAGACACCACCUUGCAAUUGGGGCCUCCAACUGUGGUUUUGUCGAAAGAAGAUGAAGAUAUCUGAUGGAGAAACACAACUAAUCAACUCAGAGACGCAAGCUAGCACAUUAUAGUCUUUCUUGUUAUCUCUUUUCGUGUGCAAUAGGGCCUUUUUGAGAGAGAUUAAUCCUAGGUACUUGGUAGAAGCUAUGUUGAAGCAUUCAUAAAUGUAGUAACUUUUAAUGACUUCAAGAUAAUCGAAACGCUGGUUUAGUUUAAGACAAUGUAUUUCACAGUUCUGGUUUGCAGUAGAAAAAGAUUGUUAUAGUAGU